rfam:Nicotiana attenuata strain TT chromosome 1, whole genome shotgun sequence.
CGGACAGAUUAUUGUAUUCGACUGUAUUCACGGCGUGAAACAGGGGAUUACACUGUUUUUAAACAGAAAGUGAAUUAAUUAACAUAAUGGAUUCCU